UACGAGGUGGCACAGUGUACGCGAUUCACUGGGUUUAAAGGGUGCUAGGCGGAUAGGUAAGUCCGUGGUGAAAUCCUGCAGCUUAACUGCAGAACUGCCAUGGAUACUAUUUAUCUUGAAUGUCGUGGAGGUUAGCAGAAUAUGUCAUGUAGCGGUGAAAUGCUUAGAUAUGACAUAGAAUACCCAUUGCGAAGGCAGCUAACUACGCGAUAAUUGACGCUGAUGCACGAAAGCGUGGGGAUCAAACAGG
rnacentral:rRNA from 1 species